AGAGUUUGAUCCUGGCUCAGGAUGAACGCUGGCGGCGUGCUUAACACAUGCAAGUCGAACGAAGCACUUUAUUUGAUUUCCUUCGGGACUGAUUAUUUUGUGACUGAGUGGCGGACGGGUGAGUAACGCGUGGGUAACCUGCCUUGUACAGGGGGAUAACAGUUGGAAACGACUGCUAAUACCGCAUAAGCCCACGGCUCGGCAUCGAGCAGAGGGAAAAGGAGCAAUCCGCUUUGAGAUGGCCUCGCGUCCGAUUAGCUAGUUGGUGAGGUAACGGCCCACCAAGGCGACGAUCGGUAGCCGGACUGAGAGGUUGAACGGCCACAUUGGGACUGAGACACGGCCCAGACUCCUACGGGAGGCAGCAGUGGGGAAUAUUGCACAAUGGGGGAAACCCUGAUGCAGCGACGCCGCGUGGAGGAAGAAGGUCUUCGGAUCGUAAACUCCUGUUGUUGAGGAAGAUAAUGACGGUACUCAACAAGGAAGUGACGGCUAACUACGUGCCAGCAGCCGCGGUAAAACGUAGGUCACAAGCGUUGUCCGGAAUUACUGGGUGUAAAGGGAGCGCAGGCGGGAGAACAAGUUGGAAGUGAAAUCCAUGGGCUCAACCCAUGAACUGCUUUCAAAACUGUUUUUCUUGAGUAGUGCAGAGGUAGGCGGAAUUCCCGGUGUAGCGGUGGAAUGCGUAGAUAUCGGGAGGGACACCAGUGGCGAAGGCGGCCUACUGGGCACCAACUGACGCUGAGACUCGAAAGUGUGGGUAGCAAACAGGAUUAGAUACCCUGGUAGUCUACACCGUAAACGAUGAUUACUAGGUGUUGGAGGAUUGACCCCUUCAGUGCCGUAGUUAACACAAUAAGUAAUCCACCUGGGGAGUACGACCGCAAGGUUGAAACUCAAAGGAAUUGACGGGGGCCCGCACAAGCAGUGGAGUAUGUGGUUUAAUUCGACGCAACGCGAAGAACCUUACCAAGUCUUGACAUCCCUUGACGAUGCUGGAAACAGUAUUUCUCUUCGGAGCAAGGAGACAGGUGGUGCAUGGUUGUCGUCAGCUCGUGUCGUGAGAUGUUGGGUUAAGUCCCGCGACGAGCGCAACCCCUAUCUUCAGUAGCCAGCAGGUGAAGCUGGGCACUCUGGAGAGACUGCCAGGGAUAACCUGGAGGAAGGUGGGGACGACGUCAAAUCAUCAUGCCCCUUAUGAUCUGGGCGACACACGUGCUACAAUGGCGGUCACAGAGUGAGGCGAACCCGCGAGGGGGAGCAAACCACAAAAAGGCCGUCCCAGUUCGGACCGUAGUCUGCAACCCGACUACACGAAGCUGGAAUCGCUAGUAAUCGCGAAUCAGAAUGUCGCGGUGAAUACGUUCCCGGGUCUUGUACUCACCGCCCGUCA
rnacentral:rRNA from 1 species